AAGUAGCUCAGCUUGGUAGAGCACUUGGUUUGGGACCAAGGGGUCGCAGGUUCGAAUCCUGUCUUCCCGA
rnacentral:tRNA from 1 species